UUGACCAGGGCAAGAUCUAAAGACUGUUCAUGAUUUGAUUUGUGAACCAUGAGUAGUCUGAGAUGGAAAUGUCGUGGGUUUGGAAAACCGGAAGCAAUUUGAGAACUCCGUGAUCUAGUUAAACUGAAAGCUCCUGACAUCAUUUUUUAUGUGAAACAAUGAGCAGUAUCAAUACUUGAACAUCUAAAUUACGACCUCUGGGCCAUCACAAUUCUUUUGUAGUACCCUCUAUAGGAAUGAAAUGAGGUGCAACGCUUGCUUGGAUGGAUGGAUUCGACAUUGUUAUAUGAAAUUCCAAUCAACAAGGGUUUGUAUGCUCCACAAAUUUGUCAAAGCUGAUAAGGUUCACAGAGUGAUUCACAAUAAAUCAGGGAAGAAAAUUCACUUUUACCUGCAAGAGUUCUGGGAGAAAUUUUGGGUGAAUCUUACUCGGACUUUCUAACAGAGUUUGGUUUAUUUGGGCCUACUUCAUUAAAACGGGGUUCGACAGGAUGUCCAGUAGUGAAAAAUAUACAAGUUUCACUAAAUUUUCUAAAACAGGGGACGUGAAGAUAUUAUCCGGUGUCGGGUUCGAAAGAAGGAAAGAUACGUGGGAGGAAAGAAAGAAAUAUUCUCUACAGAUUUCGUUCUAUCUUUAAAGUUUGGAAAGAGCUGGAAACUGCAUAAGAGAAAAAAUAGAAAAGGAAAAUUGCCGAGACUUUUGCUGAAAGAAACCGGAGUUUUCACCGAAAUUUGAUUGGCCUGUUGAGUAUAUAUAGGAUGGCUAGAGUACACCAGGGUGCCGAGAGUUGGGGGGUGAAUAUAGAGCUACGGGAGAGGCUGCAGAGAAGAUCAGAAAGUUACAGAGUCGUUCUGCACUUUUAGGGAAGAAAGGAAGAAGAACAUAGACUUACAGAGUGUAUCGCAGAAGUAGUCGUAUAUUCAACUACAAAAGCCUUUUAUCGUUUACAUCUGUACUCGCUCAAGACAUCCGGAGACUAUUAUUUUCCUUGCAAAAAGGCUUUCUGUAAACUACAGUUUAUUCUCUUCAAUAAAAAACACCUUUUUGAG